UUGGCCAGGAUGAAGGCGAGGUAACUCCUGCUGGAGGUCCGAACCCACUGCCGUUGAAAAGGCAGGGGAUGAGCUGUGGGUAGGGGUGAAAGGCCAAACA
rnacentral:rRNA from 1 species